UGGAGCCAGAAGCCGGUAGAUUAUCUAGUAAAUAGAUUUGUUCAUUAAUUUGUUCUGUGAAAUUAAUCUCCCAGCUCUGAAUUUCCUGAAGGGCUUGGAGGAAUCUGUUGGAUCACACAGUGAACGGGUUUAACAUAGCGGUUGAUGCCUUUCAUGUAUGUCACUGCAGAUGCCGAAGAUUAAUAGGGCUUCCUGGAACUAGGAACCAGAACCUGAGGCACUUAGAAAUAUGCCUUGUUUUAAAGCCCAUGUUGGGAAGCAGACCAUCUGAUAUGCAAUGUAACAGAGCCACCUGCUGGUGAAGUUAUUGCCUAUGAGACAACUGGCUGACUUGUGUGGUUACAUACCAGUCCAAACUGCCCCAUAGAUUCUUGUAGGACUUGGGCUACAUUCCUGAUUUUGUACAGACUGCCAUGGCUCCAUAUAUAAACUCACCAAAAAUCCACAUUCACCAAAGAGUUUGGUUGGAAGGGCAAUGACUGAUUUAUUAGCAACUGAAAGUAAGUGUUGGAACCGUGAUGGAUUCAGAGCAACUCCUGUCUGCACAGUGGAAGGACCUAACACAACUGAGAGGGACAGAGAACAGCAUGUAUUCUGAAAGCAUUUUGAAAAGUGUUCUUGAAAGGUAGUCCUUUGGCUGUUGGUGCAUCAUAAACAGAAGAAGGCAGUGGAUACUUACUCAAGAGAAAUUGCACCAGCAGGGACUGGAAUGGCACAGGAAAGCCAGGAGCAGUUUGCCUUCACGUGGGAAGGCUACCAGUGGACAAUCACUACCCUUCCACAGGGAUACUGCCACAGUCCCAACAUUUGUCAUGGACUUGUAGACCAGGACUUGGCCACAUGGAAGAAACUGCAAAUGGCACAGCUAUAUCAUUACAUUGUUGAUAUUAUGCUCAUGUCUGAUUGUCUUGUAGAUUUAGAAGGGGCAGUUCCUAGACUGCCGCAACAUCUACAGGAGAAAGGAUGGGCUGUGAACAGCACCAAGGUUCAGGGACCUAGUUUGUCAGUAAAGUUCUUGAGGGUUGUCUGGUCAGGUAAAAGUAAAGUUAUCCCAGAUUUACAGAUAGCGUUAAAACUGCAUAAAACUCCCAGCGCCCCACUAAACUGAAUUUUCAGUGACAAACUGAUUAAGUGUUGUCAUAAUGUAUUUAAGAUUAACUUGUAUAAGAAAAUUGAAAUGCCCUGAAAUCUUUAGUUCAUGCAUGAAAGUUCUUUCCCCAACUUCAGCUUGCAUGAUAUUAAACAAGUGGCAAAGCUAUUUUUUUUCAAAAUUGUCAAUAAUUCAGAAUUCACUUAACCUGCUAUGCUAAAGAAAUAACUGAAAGUUUUUUACUAUUCCCAUAGAAUAUCCCCAAAGAAUAAUUUUAAAAAUUAUUUGCAUUUGAAGAGAUGAUGAGAGUAUGCAGCCUAAAAAGGUAGGAAAAUAUAUCAGAGUAGGGUAUUGGACAGUUAAUUAAAAUAGAUGCUGUUUUUCUAGCUCCUGUGAUAAAUUAGUGAUAUUUAUCAGCUUAUAAAAUUUAUAAUUCGUUGUGAUUUUUUUUCCUUAUUCACUUUCAUAUCUGAUUUUGUAUUUAAAAUUUUGCAUUAUUUUUCUUAAAAAGGCUUCUGCAAAUUGCAUUUGCUUCAGGCCUCACUAAACCUGCAUCUGCCCCACUUCUAGUUAAUACUGAGUCUGCUACUUGAUUUUUAAUGUUGAGGAAGUUACAAAACUUUUUAAAUCUAAUUACUUAUAGACUCCUUAUAGAUAACCUAUGGGGUUAUAGAACUAUAAAAGAAAGA